GAGACUCUGUGCGCGUGCAUAUCAAUAAGCGGAGGAAAAGAAACUAACAAGGAUUCCCCUAGUAACGGCGAGUGAAGCGGGAAGAGCUCAAAUUUGAAAUCUUAAAGGGUUUCCCUUUACGAAUUGUAGUUUAAAGAAGUGUUUUCUGUUGGAGUUUCGGUAAAAGUUCUUUGGAAUAGGACAUCAUAGAGGGUGAGAAUCCCGUAUUUGACCGUUACUUUCCAGCUGUGGGAUACACUUUCAAAGAGUCGGAUUGUUUGGGAAUGCAGUCCAAAAUGGGUGAUAAAUUUCAUCUAAAGCUAAAUAUUGGCGAGAGACCGAUAGCGAACAAGUACCGUGAGGGAAAGAUGAAAAGAACUUUGAAAAGAGAGUUAAACAGUACGUGAAAUUGUCAAAAGGGAAGCGUUUGACACCAGUGUUGUUUUUCCGAAAAUCAAUUAAGAAUGUUUUAUUUUUGAGGAGUUAUGACUUCAUCGGCUUGCUCCUUUCUUUAUGAAACUUUCUUAAUGCACUUUUCGGUUAACAAGUCAACAUCAAUUUCUUUUGUUGUAAAAGGGUAUGAGGAAGGUGGCUUGCGUUUCGGAUAAAGUGUUUAUAGCCUUUUAUCCUCUGCAAUCGGAGAGAUUGAGGUCUGCAGCGUAGAUCCUUCGGGGUUAGAUACAUUUGUGCUAAGUUAUAGCUUUUCAUAGACAACUUGUUGACUAUGUUUAGUCUUGUAGCUUACUCGCUGACGCUAUUUUACCUACGCUUAGGAUGUUGAUCUGUAGUGCGUGCGC
rnacentral:rRNA from 1 species